ACUGCUCAGUAACACGUGGAUAACCUGCCCUUGGGUCCGGGAUAACCCCGGGAAACUGGGACUAAUACCGGAUAGAUCAAAGAUACUGGAAUGUUCUCUGGUCUAAAACUCCGGUGCCCAAGGAUGGGUCUGCGGCCUAUCAGGUUGUAGUGGGUGUAACGUACCUACUAGCCUACGACGGGUAAGGGUUGUGAGAGCAAGAUCCCUGAGAUGGAUUCUGAGACAUGAAUCCAGGCCCUACGGGGUGCAGCAGGCGCGAAACCUUUACACUGCGGGAAACCGCGAUAAGGGGACCCCGAGUGCCAGCACCUAGUGCUGGCUGUCCCGCUGUCCAAACAACAGUGGUUAGCAAGGGCCGGGCAAGACCGGUGCCAGCCGCCGCGGUAACACCGGCGGCCCGAGUGGUAGCCGCUAUUAUUGGGUUUAAAGGGCCCGUAGCCGGCCUAUUAAGUCUCUUGGGAAAUCUGGCGGCUUAAUCGUCAGGCGUCCAAGAGAUACUGGUAGGCUUGGGACCGGGAGAGGUGGGAGGUACUCCAGGGGUAGGGGUGAAAUCUCGUAAUCCUUGGGGGACCACCGAUGGCGAAGGCAUCCCACCAGAACGGGUCCGACGGUGAGGGACGAAAGCUGGGGGCACGAACCGGAUUAGAUACCCGGGUAGUCCCAGCUGUAAACGAUGCUCGCUAGGUGUCAGGUGCGGUGCGACCGCAUCUGGUGCCGCAGUGAAAACUUGAAGCGAGUCACCUGGGAAGUACGGUCGCAAGGCUGAAACUUAAAGGAAUUGGCGGGGGAGCAC
rnacentral:rRNA from 1 species